CUAGGUUUACGUCUGGAAAGAGAAUGUCUGAUCUUUGUUGCUUCAGUAUUUGAAUAACAGAGUUGUAUCAAUAAAUUGCUACCACUGUGAAACUCAAGACAGAGUACAAAAGGCUCAACUGCCUGCUCAAUGCUUUCCGUAAAUGUUCCUGAUACUCCAUUCUGUCCAAGGCACUAGGAUAAGGCAAGAGCUCUAACAGUAGUGGAC
rnacentral:lncRNA from 1 species